AAGUUUUUUGAAAGGAGAGAAGGUCAGCACUCCCCUUGAUAAGGAUGGAAGAGGUCCUAGUGGCCUGUACAACAUGCAUACGGUUAACAUAGUAAAUACAUAAAUAAAUAAAUUUA